GGCGUUUGUAAAUCCGCGUUUGACGCUUAUAUUGUUUUUGCCGCGUUCGCGCGGCUAUGGCGAUAAACGGCGUCGAAAUAAGCUCUUCGGACCCGGGGGCGGUACCCGGCGCCUCCACCAAAAUCCGUAUCGAAUUAAGCGGAUUUUGGCGGGGGCGAAAUAGGUUCGACGGGGAGUGUAAAGGAUUGUCUUUCGCUCGGCAUGGUACCGCCGUUAUCGGGCUAAACCUUAUAGUUGCCAAUGACAACUAUGCUCCGGUGGCCGUUGCUGCGUAAUGCGGCAAUAGUACCGAAAUUAAAGCCCUUGGGGGUAGCACUCUAAGGCGGGGUUCGGAGGCACCUGGCAACAGAAGCCUCCACU
rnacentral:tmRNA from 1 species